GAGACCGUGGACUGUGGACUUACAGAAGCCAUGAUUGCCUAUCUCUUUGACAAGUCUUUCAAAAAACAAUUAAAAUUCAGAGACUUUGUGUGUCGAAACAAGGAGGUGACUCUUAAUUUGGAAGAAGUCACACCAGAAGUAGAGCACCUGACUCAGAGUGAAAGAUGUCCAGAGCCGUCUGGGUGCCAAAGAGCACUGUCAAAAGGUUCCAAGAGAUCGGAACAAAAUUAGAGCGCUGCAUGAAAUAAUGGUACAGUACACAAUGUAUCCAACCAAUGCAGAGUAUGUUCAGGUUGCCUAAGCUUUAAUCUUGAAGUACCCUGUCCUGAAGGAUGUUGAGGGGAAUGGUCAUCACACCUGGCAUACAUCACUCAAGUGGAAGUUCAAGGCAGAAUGGGCACCACUCAUUAAUGACACAGAGGUCCGAAAAUUUAAAGAGAAGUUUCACCAAGCAAGGAAGUCAACAGGUGGAUCUGAAACUUUGCGUGCUAAGCGAACUAAGCCAUUAUCAGAAUCAUGCAUUGUUGGAGAGCUGGAGAUGCUAUGUCUGUUGAGACUCACGUUAAGGUAUUGUAUGACCAGUAUAAGAAGGCACAACCUGAUAUGAUGAUUGUAAAGGACCGCAUGAAGAAGACAUUUGCAUGGCGACGUCAAGAAAUAGCGGAGGGAAUGACUAUUGAAAACAUCUUGAUGAAAUACCAAUUUUUAAGAACAUCCUCAGGGUUGUAUGAUGAGGUUGAUGCCAUCCAUCCUUUGACGGUGAACAUGUAUCGGCGCUUCAGCGAGGGAUUUACAGCUGUACUGCCUAAUUUGUUGAAAGUCGUCAAGGGGACAUCGCCAUUGAAAAACUGUAUCUGGAGGCGAUAAAGGAAGCCCUGGCUGAGGACCUUCCAGGCAUUGACUUCAGGGGCGGACUUGUUCUUUUACCAUCCAUCUUCAGGGACAACGCUGACCACCUCAUUACUCUUGGAGAGGUAAGAACUGGUGCCACACAAACUGAUAGGGCCCCCCCUUAACAGAAAGUCAGGAAUAUGUUUUUUAGUGUACCAUGCCAGAUCUGUUUUAUUGUCAUGCAUUUUAACUCAUGCCCACCAACACACACUCACUGACUCAAGUAGACAGAAUAUUCUCCAUGACGGGGUGAUCAACCUUCUCUUCUAAACCAGUCAUGCCUCCACUGCACCAGUGCACAAAUUGCCCACUUAGAACAUUUACUCUUGUGAAGCUCAUACAACACAUCAGACUUGUACAUGCACAUGAACUUCACUUCAGCAUAACUUGUGGUAUAAAUGACUGCUGGUUUACUUUUUCCAAGUAUCAUUCUUACCAAAGGCAUGUGUACAGAAAACACAAGCACAAUAUUUUUCCCUCCCCUGAGAGCAAUGAGGAGGUUACGGAAGAAGAGGUUGACCUUUAUUUUCAAGGUUGGAGUACAUGCUCAUAAAUUCUGUCAUGUUCAUGCAUGAAACUCUGUCUUUUUAUAAUUGCCAUGAUAUCGACAUUGGACGUUUUGUAUUUUGUUGAUGCCACAUUUUGUUGUGAAGCUGUUCCUUGAAAAUGUUAGUUUUAGCAUUACGAUGGAGUGGGGCAUGUUUGGAGUUUGAAGUGUUUUUAAGAAUGUCAAUUUUGUAUUCUGAGUGUUGUGUGUGUGUGUGUGUGUGUGUGUGUG